AAGUCGUAACAAGGUUUCCGUAGGUGAACCUGCGGAAGGAUCAUUAACACGUAUCCAACGUAAAAAACCCCCCUGUGAACAUUCAAACCUGCUCUCGUAGCCCAGUGCGGGACUUCUGACAAAUGAGAAGUUACAGUUACGAUUGAGCGGAGAUAGCUGCAUGGCAUCCCGAAGCAGUCAGUGUCUGAAAGUGUCAUUGAUUGUCUAAGGAUCUCGCCUCAACGAUUGCCAGAGGUCGCUCACCGACCGGCAGACAUGCAACCGGGUCCCCACGCCCCUUUACAACCCCAUUACCUCUGUGAGUCGCGGGAAACUAGCGGCUAAAAAACCUCGAACAACUGUUAACAAUGGAUAUCUUGGUUCUC
rnacentral:misc_RNA from 1 species